UAGGGAAUCUUCCGCAAUGGACGCAAGUCUGACGGAGCAACGCCGCGUGAGUGAAGAAGGUUUUCGGAUCGUAAAACUCUGUUGUUAGAGAAGAACAAGUGCUAGAGUAACUGUUAGCGCCUUGACGGUAUCUAACCAGAAAGCCACGGCUAACUACGUGCCAGCAGCCGCGGUAAUACGUAGGUGGCAAGCGUUGUCCGGAUUUAUUGGGCGUAAAGCGAGCGCAGGCGGUUUCUUAAGUCUGAUGUGAAAGCCCCCGGCUCAACCGGGGAGGGUCAUUGGAAACUGGGGAACUUGAGUGCAGAAGAGGAGAGUGGAAUUCCAUGUGUAGCGGUGAAAUGCGUAGAUAUAUGGAGGAACACCAGUGGCGAAGGCGACUCUCUGGUCUGUAACUGACGCUGAGGCUCGAAAGCGUGGGUAGCAAACAGGAUUAGAUACCCUGGUAGUCCACGCCGUAAACGAUGAGUGCUAAGUGUUGGAGGGUUUCCGCCCUUCAGUGCUGCAGUUAACGCAUUAAGCACUCCGCCUGGGGAGUACGACCGCAAGGUUG
rnacentral:rRNA from 1 species